rnacentral:lncRNA from 10 species
GCCCUGUGCUGUACAAUGGAACUGUCUCACAUCAGUAUUCAUUUAAAAAUAGUAUUUAUGAAAAUUUUUCAGAGGCAGUUGAUUUGGGUUAAAAGAGAAAAGGAGAAAGGAAGAAACAAAGAAAAGCCAGUUUUCAAAUUGUCUUCAAUUCUGGUAUCUACAUGUCAAGACAUAAACAGAUGCUGGAUAAGGUCCAAAGAAACUAAAGUGAUCACAAAAUCAUUGAUUGCUGUAUGAGAAUCCAAACAACAGGAUUUCAUUCCCUGUGCUGAGCCUCCUUUCAGUUUCCUCUUCCUACCUAUGUCUCAGCUGAAAACUUAAGACCACUCACCCUACAGCCAAUGGUUCCACCUUCUGCAGCUGUCGUCUAAAUUCCAAAUGCAGCCAUGUCAAGGCACCUGCACAUGGCAGCUGUAAAAGAAACACUGGCACUUUACUGCUGAGAGGAAAGGUAGUGCCAUUUUUUGAGCAUCGGUUCCCUCCCAGAGAGGAUGACAGCUGGCAACUCUGUCCUACAGAAAAUAGGAAAGCAAGAGAAACAUAUACAGAAAUGCCUACAUAUGAUGUCACUCGGUAGCCACAGCCCUAAAAGUAUCCCAGAAAGAGGGCAAAUUAGCUGUAAAGCUAAAG